rnacentral:lncRNA from 1 species
GUGGGAGAUUCAGAAAAUAGUGUUUCCGAGGAAAUGACCAGCACGCUGGGCCUUGGACAUGAUCAGAACGUGAAAAGCAAGGGAGGCCAUGAGGACUACCCCUGUCCUGGGUGGAACAUACGGCUUGCAUCAGCUCAGACUGCCAUUGACAGCCACACUGGGGAGCUGCCCCUUUAUCCUAAAGGUGACAGGCCCAACCAGGGAUCUUUGAAUAGGGGAGUAAGGUGGAAAAAUAUAUGAAAGAAAUGAUGAAGAUAGUGAUGGUGAUGUUUGAGGAAAACCUUUUGAUAGCCAUACUGUAGCCCAUACUUCUGUAUGGCUAAAGAGUAGUUUGAAACAAAGAGACUAGUUUGAAAACUCCAACUGUGUGGGGAGACCUGGAGACCCUGGAGCUGAAACCCAGUCCUGGGAACCAGGGAAGCAAGAGUUAUCACCAGAAACUUGGAUGACCAACUCGAGGAAGCAAGAAGACCACUUGGGCCUCCUCAGGCUGUUCCUUAGAGUGCACCAGACUGAAAGCCAGCAGGGCAGGAAACCAGAUCCACAAGUGUGGAGACCUUGAGGAGGAAAAGCAAAGAAGUGAACAGUCUGAGGGUGACAGGAACAGAGGUAUCUCUCUUCUUAGUUCUUUUGUACCUAGAGAGA